rnacentral:rRNA from 1 species
UACGUAGGGUGCGAGCGUUAAUCGGAAUUACUGGGCGUAAAGCGUGCGCAGGCGGCUCUUCAAGUCAGGUGUGAAAGCCCCGGGCUUAACCUGGGAAUUGCGCUUGAAACUGAGGGGCUAGAGUGUGGCAGAGGGAGGUGGAAUUCCUGGUGUAGCGGUGAAAUGCGUAGAUAUCAGGAGGAACACCGAUGGCGAAGGCAGCCUCCUGGGCCAACACUGACGCUCAGGCACGAAAGCGUGGGGAGCAAACAGG